rnacentral:misc_RNA from 1 species
GAUGAAGAACGUAGCGAAAUGCGAUAAGUAGUGUGAAUUGCAGAAUUCAGUGAAUCAUCGAAUCUUUGAACGCACAUUGCGCCCCAUGGUAUUCCGUGGGGCAUGCCUGUUCGAGCGUCAUUUACCCCCUCAAGCUCCGCUUGGUGUUGGGCGUCUGUCCCGCUUCGCGCGCGGACUCGCCCCAAAGGUAUUGGCAGCGGUCGUGCCAGCUUCUCGCGCAGCACAUUGCGCUUCUCGAGGCACCGGUGGGCCCGCGUCCAUCAAGCUCACCCCCCCAGUUUGACCUCAAAUCAGGUAGGACUACCCGCUGAACUUAAGCAUAUCAAUAAGCGGAGGA